UACGUAGGGGGCAAGCGUUGUCCGGAAUCAUUGGGCGUAAAGAGCGCGUAGGCGGCCCUGCAAGUCAAAGGUGAAAUCCCUCGGCUCAACUGAGGAACUGCCUUUGAAACUGCGGGGCUUGAGGCCGGGAGGGGGUAGCGGAAUUCCCAGUGUAGCGGUGAAAUGCGUAGAUAUUGGGAGGAACACCAGUGGCGAAGGCGGCUACCUGGACCGGUUCUGACGCUGAUGCGCGAAAGCGUGGGUAGCAAACAGG
rnacentral:rRNA from 1 species